rnacentral:lncRNA from 1 species
GCGGUUGUUUGAUGGUAGAGACAGAGGUUUUGACGGUGGGGGUUUGUAAUGAAGAUGGAAGGAGGCGGAGGGUUUUGAGAGGUUAGUGAGGUGAACGAAGGUUGAUCAUGGAGAUGAUGGCGAAGCGGAUGUUAUGGUGGUAGUGGCGGCAAGGCGAUGAAGGGUUUAUGGAUGAGGAAGAUGACGGCGGAUUUAGGGUUUGAAGAGGGAUUUGUGUAGAGGAUUUUUUCUGUGAGAGAUUUUUUGUUGUGAGCGUAUUGUGAGGAAUAUGAGAAGGUGGGAGAAAUAGUGGGUAGGCGUGGAGAGUUUGUUGGGAGUGGAGAGAGAUAGUGAGUGACAGAACAAGGAAUAUUUAUUUAUUUUUUGUAACGUCUUUUUUUGAGAGAGAGAUAUCAAGUGAGUGAGUGAAGUAGUGAUGCGUGUGGUGUUGGUGAGCGAUUUCCUUUUUCUUUUUUUUGUUUUUUUAUGUGAGGAGGGAAUCCAAUGCACAUAAGUUCUUUAUAAUUAUUAUUCAUUUAAAUAACAAAUCAUAAAAAAAAAC